AGGCUUAAAACACCGGUUCCCGUACAACCAUCGGAGUUAAGCAAUGUAGAGCCUGGUCAGUACAUAGAUGAGUGACCGCUUGGGAAUAACUUGUGCUGUAA